rfam:Ixodes scapularis strain Wikel colony gcontig_1107728636100, whole genome shotgun sequence.
GCAGUCGUGGCCGAGUGGUUAAGGCGAUGAACUAGAAAUCCAUUGGGGUCUCCCCGCACAGGUUCGAAUCCUGUCGACUGCG